rnacentral:rRNA from 1 species
GACGAACGCUGGCGGCGUGCCUAAUACAUGCAAGUAGAACGCUGAAGGAGGAGCUUGCUCUUCUGGAUGAGUUGCGAACGGGUGAGUAACGCGUAGGUAACCUGCCUGGUAGCGGGGGAUAACUAUUGGAAACGAUAGCUAAUACCGCAUAACAGUAGAUGUUGCAUGACAUUUGCUUAAAAGGUGCAGUUGCACCACUACCAGAUGGACCUGCGUUGUAUUAGCUAGUUGGUGGGGUAACGGCACACCAAGGCGGCGAUACAUAUCCGACGUGCGAGGGGGAGCGGCCGCCCUGGGACUGAGACACGGCCCAGAGGCCUAGGGGAGGCAGCAGGAGGGCAACUUGGGCAAUGGACGGAAGUCUGACCGAGCAACGCCGAGGGAGGGAAGAAGGGUGUCGGAUCGUGAAGCUCGGUUGUAAGGGAAGAAAGAGUGUGAGAGUGGAAAGUUCACACUGUGACGGUAUCUUACCAGAAAGGGACGGCUAACUACGUG